UUAUUUUUCCUAAUUUAUUCCUUCACCCUUUGUUUCAAGGUGCAGGAAUUUGGUUUUCACAGAGAAACGUUUCGAUUCUCUGUUUGGCUCAAAGGGGAUUUGUUCUUUUUUCUCUCCUGAUGAGCUCCAGUUCGACUCCCGCUUCUUCUCUGCAAGCAGAGAAGGAGAUGGGUGAAGCAAGAAUAGAGGAAUGUUGUCGUGAGAAUAAGCAAUUGACUGCUGCUUCAGGCUCUUCAGUAUCCGAAGGCAGUGGUAUUCUUAGGUCCCCUGGGACAUCUAGCCCAGCCACAGCAUCACCAACUCAUCGGAGGACAACUGGCCCAAUUAGGCGAGCUAAAGGUGGUUGGACUCCAGAGGAGGAUGAAACACUAAGAAAUGCUGUUGCAGCUUUUAAGGGGAAGAGCUGGAAGAAAAUAGCUGAGUUUUUUCCUGAUAGAUCAGAGGUGCAGUGUCUACAUAGAUGGCAGAAGGUUCUUAAUCCAGAUCUUAUCAAAGGACCUUGGACUCAAGAGGAGGAUGAUAAAAUCACUGAACUUGUAGCUAAAUACGGGCCCACUAAAUGGUCUGUAAUAGCAAAGUCUUUGCCUGGCCGAAUAGGAAAACAAUGCCGAGAGAGGUGGCACAAUCAUUUGAAUCCCGGUAUAAAGAAGGAUGCUUGGACAUUAGAGGAAGAAUUAGCUCUAAUUAAUGUUCAUCAGAUACAUGGUAACAAAUGGGCUGAAAUUGCAAAGGCUUUGCCCGGAAGGACUGACAAUUCGAUAAAGAACCAUUGGAAUAGUUCCUUGAAAAAGAAAUUAGAUUUCUAUUCUGCUACUAGGAAUUCUUCACCAGUUGUGAAGGAUGCUUUCGUGAAUGGCACCACCAAAGCUGUGAAUAAUCAUUCAGGAAAAUUUCUUAGUUGUUCUAAUAGACAUUCGGAUUCAACUGCCCAAACUUCAUCAGGAACUACAGAGAUGUGUAAGUUUGAAGAUGGCAAGGAUCAGUUGGAGUGUUCAGCACCACUGAGAGAUGUGGUGGCUUUGUCAAGUGUUCUCAAUGAGUCUGCUGACUCCGAAUGCUUAGAAUGUGUGCCCCAAUCCUCCAAGGUUGAUCAUAGCUGCAAUAGUAUGGAGUCAGGACCAAGGUUUGAGAACUUUGGAAUUAAUUGUGAUAUGGAUGAUAGCAAAGCUAAUGAGUCACCGUUGCAGUUUCAAAAUGGAACAUGUGGUUCUUUGUAUUGCGAACCACCACUAUAUGAAAACAAUUGUGUACUAGAUUCAAAUCUUUUAAAUAUGGAUCAUGUGCACCAUGAGUACUACUCUAGUCCAAUGACGUCACCUAUUAGUUUCUUCACUCCACCACCUUGUGUGAAGGGUGGUGGUGAAAGUGCACAAAGUCCGGAAUCUAUAUUGAAACUUGCUGCUAAGAGCUUCCCAAACACUCCUUCAAUAUUUCGAAAGAGAAAGACUGCAUCCCAAAGAAAUCUGCUCCCUGAUAAAGUUAGUGACAGGGCUCAAGUGUUGGAUGAACAGGGAAGAAGCUGUAACAGUUCAGAACAGACUGGAUCUCUAGAAGGAAGUUUGUGUGACAGUCAUAUUUGCGAUGGUGGUAGCACAAUUGGGCAUAAUACUGAGGCUUUUAAUGCAUCUCCUCCAUAUCGGUUAAAAUCCAAACGAACUGCUAUUUUCAAGUCUGUGGAGAGACAACUCGAGUUUACUUUUGACAAAGAGAAGUGUGAUGACAAUACCAAAGCCAACUCAGAGUCUGUGAACAGGACAUCUCCAUCUGAAGAAGGUUCAAAUGCAACAAAGAUGGCGGUGACCUGAGGUGGAAAAGGCCUUCUUGGUUACACACAAGUAGUAACACAACUACAAAUGUACGGCGAACCAAAAAUUGAAUGCUUACUCUCUCUCUCAAAGAAGGAUCACCAAUCAAAAGACUCCCCUUCUGUCAAAUGAAGUUUGCGGAUUGAGCUCAAACUUCAUUGUCGUGCCUUUUUAAGUCAUUCAGGAUAAGAGCUGGAGAUACUCUACAAAAGUUCGUCACUGCAGAUCACUUUGAUUACGGCAACCAGAUCUACAUUACCAGCCGUUCAAGCCGCAUGUCAAUUUUCUAACUUAUAUUUCACACUUGUCAUAUACUUUCACUAGUCAUCAGAUAAGAACUUUGUUUUAGUACUCUGGGGAAAAAAGGCUUGUGGUGGAGACUGGAGAGCUUCGGGUCUGUGUGGAUAGAGAAAUGAGACAGCUUUGUACAGGAAGCAACGAUGCCCAAAAGAAUUCCCAACUUAGAAUUGUAGUAGUUGAUAUCCAAAUGGAAUAACAUUUUUUUUCUUAAAUUUUAUGUACACAAUGACACGUGUUCUGAGACA